rnacentral:rRNA from 1 species
GACGAACGCUGGCGGCGUGCUUAACACAUGCAAGUCGAGCGGAGCGGCGAACGGGUGAGUAACGCGUGAGUAACUGCCCCCCUCUCUGGGAUAACAGUUGGAAACGGCUGCUAAUACCGGAUAGUGGGGGAUGACUCGCGUCCUAUCAGCUUGUUGGUGGGGUAGGGGCCUACCAAGGCGACGACGGGUAGACGGCCUGAGAGGGCGCCCGGCCAGAUGGGGCUGGGAUACGGCGCAAACUCCUACGGGAGGCAGCGGGGGGGAAUAUGGCACAAUGGGGGAGACACUGAUGCAGCAACGCCGCGGGCGUGAGGACGGCCUUCGGGUUGUAAACCGCUUUCAGCAAUGACGCGGUAGUGGCAGAAGAAGCACCGGCUAACUACGUGCCAGCAGCCGCGGUAAUUC